GGGCGAGGUGUCAUGGUAGUUGGCGGUAUUGAUGACUGUCUCCCCGCUCUUGAUGCGCGUCCGCAGGUCAUACUUGACGAUAUUGCGCGUGCGCUCCUUGUUGUAGAAGACGGCACCAUCAUAGACCACAAAGCCUGUGCCAUCC
ensembl:miRNA